CAGUGACCCCCUCUUUGGAGCCCGCGGUCGUUGCCACUGGAAACGCAGGGUCGGUGCCGAAGAGCAUUGUCGACGCAUCGCCGAAGCGGCCCCCUCUCUCUCCUGCAAAGCCCUAGAGACGAACAUCUAUAUCGGCCCUUGGAAGAGGAAGGAGAAGUCGGGUAGAGUACUCAUUGUCAUCCUCGCCAACAUCCUCUGAGUCUCAAGAUACCGCGGUGCGGUCGUGAGAUCGCAAGGUGAGAUGUCAGGUCAUUGCUGAUUGUGUGAUGAUAAUGGGUUCGUCGAAGACGUUCCUUGUCUCCUGUGGUUUUGAUGCUUGUCAUUGUAACCUUGAUUGACAUCGGGGAGGAGGGGUUUAGGGAACCUUGGGAUUUCAUCGAUUCAUGGCUUACGACGAGCAUUCGCAUGACGUCUGCUCUUUCUUUUGAGAUCGGCUGACAUGUAUGUUGCAAUUGCUAAAGCAGAUCCGUAUUAGCUCUGUUUCUGGCACAAUGCAGUUGUUCUCUUCCCUUUCAGUUGCUUUUUGUUCCCCUUCUAUUGUCUAUGACCACGGCGCGAUACUUAUCCGGUGCGCCUCCUCAGAUUCCGGCAUGGAAUCUUGUUCGAUCUGCUCCCGCAUUCUUCUGGCAGUCGGAAGAUGCCGCGUUACCAUCUGAGGAAGAGAGAGCUAGUGUGAGAAGAUCAAGGGAGCAUGAUUCUGAAGGAGUUUCCUUAUUUUUGGAUUGCCUAUCAGCAAGAGAACUGUUGCCAUCUUCUAUUGUCUCCGUUUCUACUGUUGUUUGAGACUAACUUGGUUAUUCAAACUUUUCGGUUGAUCGAAGCAUAGAGAAUUAACCUGGUUGCUCAAGAUUGUCUCUCGAUGGAGGCAGCAAAGUCAGUACUUUCGACUCUAAAAUGUCAAUUUGGCCCUCUUAAUGUCAUCACAAGUCAAGCUAUACCAAGGGGCAAGAUUAGAUUUACUAAUAAGCUAGUCCAAGGGCAUCUAGCUGUGGAAGAAAAGAAAGAGAAAACAUGUUGCUGGACUAGUACCAAGGUUGUUCAAAACUAUUUUGUGAGAGUAGUAUAAUUUCUAUCUGUUCUGCGGGCUUCUUGAUAAGCCUGAAGUUAUUUAAUUCGUUGUGGUGCCAAUAUUAAACAAGUUGUAGAGCUGCUUCAUGUUCAUGUUAUCUAAUUCUUGGGCUGAUAUUAUCUUCUGAAGUUGCAUGAAGAUUAUGAUAGAGCUGGCCAGGAUACCGAUGAAUGGAAAGCCAGGGAGAUUGUGAAGGACAUAGCAAGCCAGGGAGUUAUUAUUUCAAGAGUUCACUGUCUCUUUUUUGCAUGAUCUUUCAAUGAUUCUCCUAGCAAUUUUUUCUAGUGCUUUUAUGAUGUGAUUUGAAUUGUUAUCAAUAUGUAGCUUUAGGGUUACCCAAUUCCAUUUCUUUUUCUCAGGUUAGAAGAACAUGAGAUGCUUAUAAUAGGCUUGGAGGAAGGCCUAUGAAAUAUUAAUAUCAUACUUGUCUGUGUCACAUCAUUCUGACUUUUUUUUGCUAAAUUAAACUGAAGUAUUAUUUUAGUUGUCGGACACCUGAUGACCUGAGUUUCUCCCUUGUUGGACUUUGAAGCUUUUGCAAAACGUUAAAUAAUUAAUAGUGUUUGAUUUACAAGGUCAUGGAUUUUAUUUAUCUUCCUAUGUUUUGUAUAAUUAUUUGAUUGGGGAACACUGGAGUAUUCUCCUUUGAUUAGGAAGUCAAGAGGUUGCAGACGUUAAGCAAUGUCUUCAUCUUAUUGCCAUCUCCUGAAGAUGACGAAUUUCAAUAUUUUGUUAUUAUUGUUCUUUUGCUGUUUGAUUUUGUCAGAACUUGGAAGGACAAGAUUGGCUUGCAUUGAUUGCCAGCCGAUUUUGUGUUUGUUAUGGCACUGACUGGUUUUAUGCUUUAUUAGCAUGACUUCGGUGGUGUUUCUAAUCUCAUCAUCUCAUGUGGGUGAAUCGAGUAAAACGACCUUGCAGCAUGUUUAUUGUUUUGGAAGUUUUGAAUUCCAGUUUCUUCCUGUGGCUACCUCUGGAUGCAGCCGGGUGACUGAGACACUGAGUGCAGCCAUCACCGCCUGGAGAUGAAGUCUGGGCAUCAGACCUCAUCCAACCCAAGUAAUGUAUUUACAAGCACUAUAUGCCUCAUCUUGCCUCGUGUGAGAAGGGUGUGUAGUCUUCUUAAAAGCUUGAGAUGGGCAAUUGUGCAGUUUGAUUGAAGCAAGCUUGUUUCUGAUGUUUCUAGCAUGUUAACUUUGAGAAGGUAAUAGAAAUGCAUUUUGACGUGCAAUUUGCUACAUUGUAACUGCAUUUUGAGAAGGUAACAAGCAAAAUGUUAUGUAGCACUGCAUAUUGGAUGAGUUUAUAAAGAUGGAAAAUAGAGAGAGAGAGAGAGAGAGAGAGAGAGAGGGAUUAGUUUUUUUCCUUUGAUAUAUUUUGCUAAUCAGCAGCUGAUAUAUUACUAAUUACUUCUCGUUUACAAGUGGCUGACACAAACAGCACGGUAAUAAAACUAAUGACACGAGGAGUUGAGCUUGGUGAUCCCAUUAUGGUCCUUGGCGAGGUAUGUCUUCCAACCAUUAAUCUGGUCACUUGAUUUUACAGGUAGCUGCCUUGCAAUACCUUGAUGAGCAUAUGUUGCGUCUCUUUGAAUCUGCAAGAGAACUUGUACCGGUUCUUGUUUGCAACCACAAUGUAAGCUAGUUGAAGGUUUGAAGAGGAGAGCUUCUCAGCAGCACCAAGAUGCUUGAUUCAGUACGCCGCAUCAAGUUCUUUUCUCUCAAUAUAUUGGAAGCACUCAGGAAUCUUCCUCGUUUGGGUAGCAUUGCAAGAUAAGGAUUGUUCCCUUAUCCAGAUCAAUCAAAGCAGUGCAGAGAGUGUGACGUCCAAACCUGUCAUUUUAGCCAAUCAAACGAUUCAGAAAUGCGAGAAUUUCUCUGCAGCCUAGAGUUGGAAGUGCUGAUGCUUGUCUUUCAGAUAAGAGUUAUCAUCUUGAACCUUCAUGAAGUAGCAGACAAGGUUACGUGGAAACAUGCACUUGUAGCUUGAUGCACCAACAUGGUAUAAUUCAUGCUUUAAUUAGUUGUUUGCCCUACCACACUUACAUGAUGCAGAAACAUGUCAUGAAAUUAUAGCUGUGUCCAAUAGAAAUGUUGCAUCUAUUCUCCUUGGUGACGCACCAUGUCAGCCUCGGUGAGUGGCUCCUACAUUUCUCCCAAAGCCUUCGGUCGAGAUUUCCUGACCCAUUGAAGGUAUGGCAUUAAGCAAUAAAUAUCUGUUGCAAUAUUUGCAUCCUCAGAAUGCAUCAACAGCUCUCUUAUGAAGAGCAGGGCAAAAUGGAUGAUUUCACAGUGCCAUCGCUGAUGAGGGCAGGGAUGGCCAUGGAGUCAUCAAGAACACGUGAAACAUCGUCAUCAUCAUCAUCAUCAACCUCCUUCAGACGGGAUUUGGCAAUAUCAUCUUUUGAGGGUAUGUGCUUAUGUGUACAACCAUUGCCAAUGCGUUGG